rnacentral:rRNA from 1 species
AUUGGCCUACGGGGGGCAGCAGUGAGGAAUAUUGGUCAAUGGGCGGGAGCCUGAACCAGCCAAGCCGCGUGAGGGAAGAAGGUACAGCGUAUCGUAAACCUCUUUUGUCAGGGAACAAAGGCGGGGACUAGUCCCCGGAUGAGGGUACCUGAAGAAAAAGCAUAGGCUAACUCCGUGCCAGCAGCCGCGGUAAUACGGGGGAUGCGAGCGUUAUCCGGAUUUAUUGGGUUUAAAGGGUGCGCAGGCGGCCUGUUAAGUCAGCGGUAAAAGCGCGGGGCUCAACCCCGGCGAGCCGUUGGAAAUGG